rnacentral:rRNA from 1 species
CCUACGGGUGGCAGCAGUGAGGAAUAUUGGUCAAUGGCCGAGAGGCUGAACCAGCCAAGUCGCGUGAGGGAAGACGGCCCUACGGGUUGUAAACCUCUUUUGUCGGGGAGCAAAGCGAGUCACGUGUGACUCAUUGAGAGUACCCGAAGAAAAAGCAUCGGCUAACUCCGUGCCAGCAGUCGCGGUAAUACGGAGGAUGCGAGCGUUAUCCGGAUUUAUUGGGUUUAAAGGGUGCGCAGGCGGAGGUGCAAGUCAGCGGUCAAAUUGCGGGGCUCAACCCCGUACUGCCGUUGAAACUGCAUCCCUUGAGUGCGCGAGAAGUAUGCGGAAUGCGUGGUGUAGCGGUGAAAUGCAGAGAUAUCACGCAGAACUCCGAUUGCGAAGGCAGCAUGCCGGCUCCACACUGACGCUGAGGAGCGAAAGCGUGGGUAGCAAACAGGAUUAGAUACCCCAGUAGUC